rnacentral:tRNA from 1 species
CAGGAUGUGGCUCAGUUGGUAGAGUACUUGCCUGGAAUGCACAAAUCUCUGGGUUCCACCCCAGCACCCUAU